GACGAACGCUGGCGGCAUGCCUAAUACAUGCAAGUCGAGCGGAGUUGAUGGAAAGCUUGCUUUCCUGAUACUUAGCGGCGGACGGGUGAGUAACACGUAGGCAACCUGCCCUCAAGCUUGGGACAACUACCGGAAACGGUAGCUAAUACCGAAUACUUGUUUUCUUCGCCUGAAGAGAACUGGAAAGACGGAGCAAUCUGUCACUUGGGGAUGGGCCCGCGGCGCAUUAGCUAGUUGGUGAGGUAACGGCUCACCAAGGCGACGAUGCGUAGCCGACCUGAGAGGGUGAUCGGCCACACUGGGACUGAGACACGGCCCAGACUCCUACGGGAGGCAGCAGUAGGGAAUCUUCCGCAAUGGGCGAAAGCCUGACGGAGCAAGGCCGCGUGAGUGAUGAAGGUUUUCGGAUCGUAAAGCUCUGUUGCCAGGGAAGAACGCUUGGGAGAGUAACUGCUCCCAAGGUGACGGUACCUGAGAAGAAAGCCCCGGCUAACUACGUGCCAGCCGCCGCAGUAA
rnacentral:rRNA from 1 species